rnacentral:lncRNA from 10 species
GGAGCGCCUCUGACUGACUUCCCCCAUGUGUCCGUGUGGCCACACCGUGCUACUUUCAGAGGCAGUGGGCUUUUCGCUAAGGGAUAAAAAGAAGUAAAACCUUGCCUUUAGCGCAGCUCUCCUUCACUGGGCAGAUUGCUCUCCCUCCCCACUCUCCCAGGCCCAAAUUGGAUCUCAGCGCCUGGGAGCUCCAACUUUAGCAAGUGCGAAAUCCUGUCUUCGGUUUUGGAAUUUUCAUCCGCACAGACUAUAUCAGCCACGGAUAGGAUAUGUGAGAAUACCAGCAUGUCAAGGCUGGGAAUCAUCCUUAGGCAUCACCUAGCCAGUCCUGCCUCUCAUUUUAAGGUGAUCACAGGAUCUGGUUUGCCACUGAAAGGAAUCUUGAUGCUGACCACUUCACCUCGGAGAGCAUGAACUGCUCCCAUGCCUUCAAGAGUUUUAGAGAAUAGACGCCUUGAUGGCUCCUCUGGCAGUUCUUGAUGACCAUGGAUGAGCUAAUGGCUGUGGUCUCAAUGGUGGCUUCUUGAG